UAGGUGAAAUAUAUUCAGUGGAUAAAGAAAAAUGACAUAUUUUAUAAUAAUUUUCUGUACAUUUUCUUCCACAGAACAAUGACCUUGCUUUCACUAAAGGCUGAUUAUGUGUUUGUUUUAUAAAUCUAGGAGACCAGUUGCAUUGAAAUACCUAUCUCUAAUCCAAAAGACAAAAUUAUUCACAUAGAUGUGAUAUUAACAAAUCCUGCCCUGAGUGGACUCCAGAAACUUGUACUGAAUCCACUGGAAACUACUAAGUACAUUGUGUGGUAUUCUCCGGCAACUACAGGCUAUAAUGAAGAAAGCAUUAUUUUUCAGCCUGAAAUGGGUGAAGAGUUCUGGUGUUUACUGAAAUUAACCACUGAACUUCCAAAAAGAAAGGAAAUACCGGAAAUAUACUGUGACCUUGGAAAGCAUGUCAUUCAGACCAUUCCCUUAUAUAAUCCUACACAUGAAACUUUGGAAUUGCAAGUAACAAACAGUAAUCCUGGAAAUUUUGUCCUGGAAAUUAACAGAACAUUACCACUGAUUAUACUUCCUCACUCCACCAAAGAGGUAACAGUUUACUUUUAUCCUUCUGCACUUGGAAGAGCUGGUCAUGAAACUUGUAUCAACUUCUUCUGUGCUCAGUUUGAAGAAUGGAAAUUCUACCUCCUUGGAGUAGGACUAUUUCCCCAGCCUAUAGAAAUAGCAGAAAUGACCACAUGCAUUGGUCAUCAGUCAUCCAUCAUUAUACCUUUCAAAAAUCCCACCAAGGAAGAUGUGUCUAUCAACAUCAUUCUAACAAAUGAAGAACAGCCUAGACACCUUGUCAGUGACAACUGCUGGGAUAGCUUCAUAAAUGAGAAUUCUGCCUUCCAACUUUGUUCUCUGUGUCAUAGACAAGCUGUCAUACAAUGUAAGUCUAAGAAGAAGGUAGAAAUGACGCUGGAAAUCAAAUUGAUUGGUCAUUUUUUUGGACAAGAUUCUACACCGGAAUCAACACAAUUUUUAGUGAUUCCAAAAAGAAGUUCAUAUUGUAAUGUUUCUGAAGAUUACACUGUAGUUCCCAAAAUACGUGUAUUCAAGUAUGAAAUAGAAUUUGAAUCUGAAAUCAUGAAGUCUAACUUGGAAUCCACUGUGGAUUUAUAUUUGAGCACACAAUGUUAUGAUAUCCAAAAUGAGAUGAUAUCAUUGGUCUUCAAGCUAGUAUUUACACCACAGAGACCAUUCAGGACUAAUGCUGCAUUGAAAAUAGAGAGCAUAAAAGAUGGAAUCUGGAAGUUUCCCUUGAUCUUGAUGGCUACAGAUCCUGAUAUGGAGGAAAUUAUUAACAUACGAGGAGUUGGUUUACAAAAGGAAUCUACUAUGAACUUUAGGCUGACAAGUCCCACAAGGUACUUUAUCAAACAAAAGUAUAUAACUAGCUUUAUGAGUGUGAUUUAUGCUGAAUUCAAACAUUUAAAAUAGAAAACUCUGCAGGUCAUCUUUUAUUA
rnacentral:lncRNA from 1 species